rnacentral:rRNA from 1 species
GACAGAGGGUGCAAACGUUGCUCGGAAUCAUUGGGCGUAAAGCGCACGUAGGCGGUCUGUUAUGUCGGAUGUGAAAGCCCUUGGCUCAACUGAGGAAGUGCAUCCGAAACUGGCAGGCUAGAGUACUAAAGAGGGUCGCGGAAUUCCCGGUGUAGAGGUGAAAUGCGCAGAUAUCGGGAAGAACACCCGUGGCGAAGGCGGCUCUCUGGGACGGUACUGACGCUGAGACGCGAAAGCGUGGGGAGCGAACAGG